AUUACUGUUUCAUACGCCUCUUCAAUGUUUACUAUAAUGAUAUUUUCUCUCAGUGGCCUUCUCAAGUCGAUAGG
rnacentral:tRNA from 1 species